rnacentral:rRNA from 1 species
AUGCACAACUUCAUCAAAUGGAUACAUCAAGGAAUUUCAUGUGCACCAAGGGAGGAAGGGCCUGCUCUUGGUACAUUUAGUGCACCCUACUACAUAAUAGAGAAAGGCCUAGUUCAAAAGCAGCUUCUGCUUACCUGUCGAGGCAUUAUAGUUACUGGCUUUGCAGUCUAUAGCAUCAAGCUUUUGAUUAAUAGUUUCAGUAAUAGUUCCGACGACACAGAAGCUGGUAAAUUCGAUGGCUUGAAGGAAGUGACUACGGAUUUAAGCACAAAAUUCAGUGACGUAAAGGGGGUUGACGAAGCCAAAGCUGACCUUGAGGACAUUGUUCUCUACCUACGAGAUCCCGAGAGUUUCACUCGCCUUGGUGGCAAGCUUCCAAAGGGUGUUUUGCUUGUGGGCCCACCCGGCACUGGGAAGACCAUGUUGGCAAGAGCUGUAGCCGGGGAAGCCGGUGUCCCUUUCUUUGCGUGCAGUGGCAGUGAUUUCGAGGAGGUGUAUGUGGGUAUUGGGGCUAAGAGAGUGCGGGACCUCUUCCGUGCAGCAAAGAAGCGAUCUCCUUGCAUAAUAUUCAUUGAUGAGAUUGACGUUGUUGCUGGGCGCAGACGUGCAUUAGACCCGCCGUGGGCAAGGCAGACCAUGAACCAGCUGCUUUCUGAGAUGGAUGGCUUCAAGCAGAAUGAUGGAAUCAUUGUGAUUGCCGCGACCAACUUCCCAGAGUCGCUAGAUAAAGCCCUCAUCAGGCCUGGGCGUCUUGACCGCCUAAUCCAUGUUCCUACCCCAGAUGUUGAGGGCCGACGGCAGAUUCUUGAGGUGCACAUGUCAAAGGUGUGUAAAGCAGAGGGUGUGGAUGCGAUGACCAUUGCGAGGGGGACGCCCGGGUUCUCAGGUGCAGACCUUGCAAACCUAGUGAAUGACGCCGCUCUCAAGGCUUCCAGGGAUGGGGCAGAUGCUGUUGGGAUGGAUCACCUCGAGUAUGCCAAGGAUAGGAUCAUCUUGGGCAGCGAGCGCAAGUCGAUGGUGAUAUCUGAUCAAUCCAGGAAGAUGACUGCCUACCACGAGGGUGGGCACGCCCUUGUUGCUAUCCUCACGGACGGGGCUGACCCUGUCCACAAGGCCACCAUUAGGCCCAGGGGAAAUUCUCUUGGCAUGGUGGCGCAGCUGCCGGGGGAAGACAGCGAGCUGGAACUCUCGAGGAAGCAGAUGCUUGCAUCGCUGGAUGUACUCAUGGGGGGCCGGGUUGCUGAGGAGCUUAUAUUUGGAGAGACUGGUGUCACCACCGGUGCCUCAUCUGACCUAAGCAAGGCGACUCAACUGGCGAAAGACAUGGUCACCAGGUAUGGUAUGAGCAAACUGGUAGGCCUUGUUUACUAUGGCAACAACGGCGAUGGUGGUGAUGGUAAGAUGACAGCCCUGGUGUCUGAGGAGGUGAAAGCAUUACUGGACAACGCUCACAAGAAUGCAAAAGCGAUUCUCACGGAGCACACCAAAGAGUUACAUGCGCUAGCCAACGCCCUGUUGAAGCAUGGAACUCUCACUGGUGAAGAUAUGGUGAAACUAGUAUUGACAGGACAAGAACCAGAUGAUCUUAACAUUAGCCAGCAGAAUCAGGAAACACCUUCACUCACUGUUGGUGAGAUCACAAAUCUAGUAUCGACAGAAGAACAAGUAGAUGAUCUUAACAAUUGUCAGCAGGACCAGGGAAAAUCUUCUCUCACUUGUGACAAGAGCACCAAACCAGUAUCGACAGAAGAACAAGGAGAUGGAACUCUCACCGGCAACGAGAUCACGGAACCGGUGUCGACAGACCAACAAGUAGGUGAUGCUAACAAUGGUGAGCAGGUACAGGGAAACACCUUCUUCGCCCUAGCCGUGGAGGCGCUUCCAAGAGUACUUCCGUUCCUGAUACUUCUGUUGUAA